CACCUCCUACCUUGGAUCGGACUCCUCGACUUUUCCCCUUCUCGCGCCGCCCGCCCAGAUCUGAGCUGACCUGAGCCCUUCCCUUCCCUUCCCUUCCCUUCCCUUCCCCGGAUGGCGACGCCGUCCUCCCCCUCCCCGACCCACUCCCCGACCUCCUCCUCCUCCUCCUACUGGUGCUACCAGUGCGACCGCUUCGUGCGGGCCACCGCCGCUCCCGCCUCCCCAGCCUGCCCUUCCUGCGGGGGCGGCUUCCUCGAGGAGAUGGGCGCGCCACCACCACCACGACCAGCCUACCUCCGUCGCCACCGCGCGCACAACCACCACCACCACCACCACCACCACCACCACCACAUCGCCGCCGCAGCAGCCGACCUCCGCCCCCGCCGCGCGCGCCGCGGCGCCAGCGGCUCGACCGACUCCCGCGCCUCGCCGUUCAACCCCGUCAUCGUGCUCCGCCGCUCCCCUCC
rnacentral:lncRNA from 1 species